UCUCGGUGACUGGUUCUUCCUCUCCAGCAGGGGGCUGACAGCUAGGUUAGGAUUCGAUGUGAAGUGAGAUAUUUAUAUCCGUCUACCUUUAAUCUGCUCCGUCCAUCAUGUUUGAUCUCGAUUGUCCAAUCGCGUUUAAAUAGAAAAUAAAUCUGAACCAUUCAUCGUGAUUUAAUCUGAACCAUAUGAUCGCGCCUAAGGAGGAAACGGAUCUGAACC
rnacentral:lncRNA from 1 species